UCCUGGUAGCUCAGACGGUAAAGAAUCUGGCUGCAACGCAGGAGGCCCAGGUUCAGUUCCUGGGUCAGGAA
rnacentral:tRNA from 1 species